rnacentral:rRNA from 1 species
GAUGAACGCUAGCUACAGGCUUAACACAUGCAAGUCGAGGGACCGGCGCACGGGUGAGUCACACGUAUCCAACCUGCCCUUUACUCGGGGCUAGCCUUUCGCAAGAAAGAUUAAUAACCGAUAUAAAGGAUGGGGAUGCGUUCCUUUAGGUUGUUGGUGAGGUAACAGCUCACCAAGCCUUCGAUGGAUAGGGGUUCUGCGAGUAAGGGCCCCCACAAUGGAACUGGGACCCGGUCCAAAAUGGUACGCGUGGGAGCAGUGAUGAAUAUAGGUCAAUGGACGGGAGCCGGAACCAGCCAAGUAGCGUGAAGGAUGAAGGCUUAUGGGUCGUAAACUGCUUUUAUAUAAGAAGAGGUAUUAUAUCAAUAAGGAUCGGCUAACUCCGUGCCAGCAGCCGCGGUAAUAC